UACAGAGGUCUCGAGCGUUGUUCGGAUUCAUUGGGCGUAAAGGGUGCGUAGGUGGCGGGGUAAGUCGGAUGUGAAAUCCCGGGGCUCAACCUCGGAACUGCAUUCGAUACUGCUUUGCUUGAGUACUGGAGAGGAGAUUGGAAUUUACGGUGUAGCAGUGAAAUGCGUAGAUAUCGUAAGGAAGACCAGUGGCGAAGGCGGAUCUCUGGACAGUUACUGACACUGAGGCACGAAGGCCAGGGGAGCAAACGGG
rnacentral:rRNA from 1 species